rnacentral:lncRNA from 13 species
CUCCAGUCUGGUACCACCUCUGUUCACUUGUUCCCGCCAUCGUCGUAACUCGCGCGGUGAUAUGACGUAUUUCUACUACAAGAUGUAAUAAGUGACAGACACAUAUCAGAGAGUCGAAAGAAAGAAUAAGAAAAAAUGGUUGCAUCGUACAAUGUGUAUUACAAAAAUCGGGAUUUAUGAAUGAAUUGGAAUAUGAUAAAGAGAAAAUCCGUAGCGUGCAUACCGAUAAAUUAAAUAAUCCAAGAGAUGACCAGGAAAAUGCUAGAAGAUCAGGUCAUCUGCGUAAAUAAAACAAAAGACCUUACGGAAAAAUGUCAAAAAGCCUUUAAUCUUAUAGAAUGUAUCGUAAAGCUCAAAAGAGAAUGCUUUUGAGUAUACCUAAGAGCACACCCGAAAAAUAAGGAAUGUAAUUGAAAACAACCGACAUAUAAUCAAGAUAUAAAAAUUUGCAGUAUAUAGCAUUUUCAAUAAAGAGAUAUAAUGCAGCUUUUUUAUGUUUUGACAAAUUAAAAUAAUACUGAAAAAAAUUUGGUUUAAUAAAGCAAUCUUAUUGAGAAGGAAAAAAAAUCAGUAUUAUUAAUUUCUUUAUUUGUAUAAUACUGUUUAUAAUACCAUAUCUCAAGUCUUAUAUUAGAUAAGUGGGCCACAGUGAAACAAAGCACGCAAAAAAAUGGCAGGCAAACCGGAACACGUGAUUUCAUAUACGAAGAUUAACUGAAGGUAUUGUAAGUGAGCAAUCGGCUCACUCGAUAUAAAUUUCAAAUCGCCCGCCACUGCGGUGUCAGCGGAUUGCUGCCUGCGUAUUGCUUGCCUGAUUGGCUGCGUGGGUCACGUGACCUUCUGUCUCGUGCCCCAAUUGGUUUUGCGAACGACGUGAGAUAUAUACCGCCAUGCGAUUGGCCCUGCGAGGCUCACUAGCGCGCCCCUGCGGUUUCUCUCGUGGGUGUAUCAUCGCAAGUUUUAGACUCGUCGAAGGUCUCGUCAAGUGUAUCAUGACCGCCACGUUUUCUGUAUAGUCGUGAGCUAA